GAUGUACUCCCUCCGUCCGGAAUUACUUGUCGCAGAAAUGGAUAAAAAUGGAUGUAUCUAGAACUAACAUACGUCUAGAUACAUCCAUUUCUCCGACAAGUAUUUCCGGACAGAGGGAGUACAAA
rfam:Triticum aestivum genome assembly, contig: Triticum_aestivum_CS42_TGACv1_scaffold_095114_2AL